GCUCACUUGGUGGAAUUGGUAGACACGAUGGAUUUAAAAUCCAUUCCUUUUUGGGUACUGGUUCAAGUCCGGUAGUGAGUA
rnacentral:tRNA from 1 species